UCGAACGGGACCGGGGGCAACUCCGGUUCAGUGGCAGAUGGGUGCGUAACACGUGAGGAACUUGUCCGACGGCGGGGGAUAGCCGGCCCAACGGCCGGGUAAUACCGCAUACGCUCGUUCGGGGGCAUCCCUGAGCGAGGAAAGCAGCCGCAAGGUUGCGCCGGUGGAGAGUCUCGCGGCCUAUCAGCUAGUUGGCGGGGUAAUGGCCCACCAAGGCGACGACGGGUAGCUGGUCUGAGAGGAUGGCCAGCCACGUUGGGACUGAGACACGGCCCAGACUCCUACGGGAGGCAGCAGUGGGGAAUAUUGCGCAAUGGCCGCAAGGCUGACGCAGCGACGCCGCGUGAGGGAUGACGGCCUUCGGGUUGUAAACCACUGUCGGGAGGAACGAAUACUCGGCUUCGAAUAGGGGACCGAGGGUGACGGUACCUCCAAAGGAAGCACCGGCUAACUCCGUGCCAGCAGCCGCGGUAAUACGGAGGGUGCGAGCGUUGUCCGGAAUCACUGGGCGUAAAGGGCGCG
rnacentral:rRNA from 1 species